rnacentral:sRNA from 1 species
CAAACAGCUGCGAUCUAUUACCAAUCCAUCUUAAAAACGCUGGAAAAACCAGCUAUCUGGCCAAUACUUAAAGUCACUGGUGCGCGGCAUACCCCCCCAAGUGCCCGGCCAGUUUUAGGUACCGUGGAUCGUGUACCGUUGUUUCACUCCUAAUGGUCUUGACCCGGAUUCAUCCCCCAGAACCCGG